rnacentral:lncRNA from 1 species
GAAAUCCGAAAUUUUCAUAUAUUGACAAUUCAAUUUAAUUCAAUUUGUGAGUGCGAUUAGAGACUUUUAAAAUUCUUCAAUUAGUUUCAUUUGCGAGAGAAAGAGAGAUGUAAUAUCAAUCAAUUGUUAUCAUGUAGUUUGCUGUUAUCAUGUAGUUAAUACUUAUGCAUAGGUGACUUCGUUACCUUCCCCAUCCUUGUAACUGCCCUUAUUAAAAAUAAAACGUGCAACUCAACUGUGGUUGUUAUUACAGGGUAUGAUUACAAAUGAGACAACUUUUAUCAAAAGACGAACUAAUAAAGAUGUAUACCCCAAUAAAACAUCGUAUGCCUAAUGGCAUUCAACAAUGAACAAAUCACAUCCAAUAUAGUAAGUUAUAAGAGACCCC